AAUGAACGUUGGCGGCGUGGAUUAGGCAUGCAAGUCGAGCGAGAACCGGUUUCGGCCGGGGACAGCGGCGAACGGCGUAGUAAUGCAUCGGAACGUACCCUCUGGUCGGGGAUAGCUACGGGAAACUGUAGGUAAUACCCGAUGAUCUCUGCGGAGCAAAGGUGAGAUUCCGCCGGAGGAGCGGCUGAUGUGAUAUUAGCUAGUUGGUGGGGUAAUGGCCUACCAAGGCGAUGAUGUCUAGGGGGUGUGAGAGCAUGGCCCCCACGACCGGAACUGAGAUACUGUCCGGACACCUACGGGUGGCUGCAGUCGAGAAUCUUCCGCAAUGGACGAAAGUCUGACGGAGCGACGCCGCGUGCGGGAUGAAGGCCCUUGGGUUGUAAACCGCUGUCAGAGGGGAUGAAAUCUUCGGAGGUACUCCUCCGAAGUUGACAGAGCCUCAAAGGAAGCACGGGCUAAGUACGUGCCAGCCGCCGCGGUAAAAC
rnacentral:rRNA from 1 species